rnacentral:rRNA from 1 species
UACGGAGGGUGCGAGCGUUAUCCGGAUUCACUGGGUUUAAAGGGUGCGUAGGUGGGUUUGUAAGUCAGUGGUGAAAUCUCCAAGCUUAACUUGGAAACUGCCAUUGAUACUAUAGAUCUUGAAUUUUCCGGAGGUCAGCGGAAUAUGUCAUGUAGCGGUGAAAUGCUUAGAUAUGACAUAGAACACCGAUUGCGAAGGCAGCUGGCUACAGGAAUAUUGACACUGAGGCACGAAAGCGUGGGGAUCAAACAGG